UUAUAUAUAUUACUUAAUUAUUGAGGAGAAGAACAUCUGACCCAAAUUAUAGUAGAUGAUGAUUCUAUAAAUUAGGGAAUUAUAGUCGAAGUAGCCUCUAAAUUGAGGAUUUGGUAAAGAUACAAGAUGUGGAAUUUGUAUUUUAGUAAAAAUAAUUGUGGGCUAGGUUUUUUGUUAGUAUUGAAGAUUUACGUAGGCUUCAAUAAUUGAGAAUUUUCAAGUUGAGUUUUUUAUUUCUUUAUUAUUAUUAUUUUCGAUGUUUUUUUAUUUUAUUUUAUUUUUUUUAUUGAUUUACGACCUCAAUAGUUGAGAAUUUUCAAGUUGUUGUUAUAUAUAUAUAUAGAUGCAUGUUUCUACUCUUAAUCAAUUCUUAAUGUUUGAAAUUGGGAGUGGUUAAUUAAAUCCAUGUACUCUGACCAUGACCAGGUUGUGCUCUAGAUAGAUAGUAUCUUAUCUUUUAUUCUCAUUUGAACAAAUUGAUGUUGUACUAUUUUGCAAGUUUUUUUGGGAAUUUGAGACUUAUUUUGUUUUAGCGAAAUACUUUCCUCACACAUUAUCAAGUUUGGUGUGCAUUAAAGAGUAUCUUUGUAUUUGAAGUUAUCAAGGACGAGAAAUUUCACUCAUUUUAGGGUGUAUUAUUAUUUCAAUUAUCCUUAUCCCUGGCCUCAGCAGGAGGCCUAUGUACAAUCGGACCCAGAAGAGUUGCAGUCACUAAAGAAGUCAUAUAUUUUUUAAUUAUGGUGUGCAACUUAUAUCUUCUAUUUUAUUUUUAUUGCCACCCUAUUUUUUUUGCCUCUACAAAUAGUUUAGACAAGACUUUAAUCUCUAGUGGUAUACGAGGGACUGUCGUUACCAACAAAUUUCCAUGAGCUGGUUUUUUUUAUUGAUUUGCGAGGAAUGGAAAUGGGAUAAUGAAAAUUACGAUGAGCUGUUUUUUUUUUAUUUUUUUUAUUGCUUCUAUAAUUUUAUUUGACAAUUUUUUUUUAUUUAAGUUAGUUUUUAGGUGGAAUCAUUGUAUGUAGUGAAAUUAAUAAGAAGUUGUGUUGGAUUAUCAUCCAAUACAAAUCAUACAAUGUAUUAGGCUUUAUUGGGCUAUAUAUAAGACUAUUUCAUUCCAUAUAAGUUAGAGUUGGGAAUCUAAUAUCUCUAUACUUUGUUGUGUUUCUCAUCCGAUACAAUGUGUGUAGUUUUAUCACUAUUUCGGUGAACACAUGGCAACUUUAAGCUCCCAUAGGAAACGAAAAUGGGAUAUUGCUCAGAAUCAAAGUAAGGAGUUUAUGGCUUGGUUUAAGGAGAAAGUUUCCUGCAUGCUUCAAUAAGGUGAUGUAGUACCAGACCAUGUGAAAUGGUUAUCAAAAGGUCCUUAUGUGGAAAAUAGGUACACUGGGUACUUUGUGAAUGGAUUUCAUUUUCACACUAUGAAACGUGAUGCAAAUUUAAUAUCACAGAACCACGGAGUAAAUUUAAACGCUCUAACUCCUAGCUUUUCUAGUAGUAAAGAUCAAACUCUUAUAAUGAGAAGUGUUUCUUAUUAUGGUUCAAUUGAAGAUAUCAUUUAGCUAUCAUACCAUGGCCAAUUUAGCGUUGUCUUAUUUAAAUGUGUGUGGUUUCACUCAGAAAUGAAUGAUGAUAAAUUUAUUUUGGUUAACAAGAAUAGAACCAUUGGUGGAGGAGAACCAUUUAUUUUAGCAUCUCAGGCACGACAAGUUUUCUAUGUGGAAGACUUAACCAAGAAUGGUUGGUAUUAUGUUGUUCAUAACCUUCCUACAGAACUCUCUAAUGGUAGGAUGUUAUAUGGCAUGCCUUAUAUAUUGUUGAUUGACGCAUUAAAUUACUUUCUCAGUUGUUUCCUUUUCUUAUGGCAUGCUUUUUUUCCCCUAUAACAUACAACUUUAAAUAUUUUUUUAGUAAGAUAAUUGUUUUUCAUAUGUGUAGAUGAAGGGGAUUAAGGCUAAAUCUAUCCCUAAAAAAAAAGUGAUAACGGAUUAUGAAAGGCAAAGACUAGAGCAGCUGAAGCAUAACGCAAACAUCAUGGCAGCUUCUGGAAAAGGAACUUUGGCAUCACAAAUUUAAGAUAAAUCUUGAGCCUUUUCAUAUGCCCUUAAUGCUAUUAGCACAUGGGACGAUAAUAACUUGUUUUCAGAUGAAGAUGAUGAUAAUGAUGAUGAGUACAUACCAAAAUAUGAGGGUAAUAGGGAUGAAAUUGACUCUGGUAAUGUAACAAGCAAGCGUAAGGCUAUUAUGAGUGGGAAAUAUUAUGGAGGGUCAACAAAAGGCAUGUCACCGCUUUCACAUCUGCCACAUGUCAAGGAUAUUGCUACAAAAAAGGCUGCUCGCAAGGACUCUUCAAACAAGUCAGGCUCAAUGGCUGCAUUUGUUCAGAACACCACAAAACAUUGUGUGGAAAACCAUACUGAGCUACUUCCAGUCAAUUCAAUAGGCAAGUUUCAACAAAGAGAUCACCAAAAUGGAAACAACCCGUCAGGAAAACAAGCUCUCCAUUCACAAAAGAAGCAUCAACAAAAGACUUUUUGUCGUCCUAGAUCAUUUACUGCCUUUCGUGAGCUACUAAAAAAGCAAUUAGAGAAUGUGAUUAAAUAGAAUGAAACAUAUAGUACUUCAAACCUUGAAGUGGCAUAUGAAUUCCAGUUGAUAUCUCAUAGUGCAAAUGACAUUGUAAAUGAACAACCCAGAGAUGAUGGCAACAUUGUAAUGGAAGAUAUAACUGAAUCGACACAUGAGGACUCUCGAUUGAGAAUUGAAAUUCCACAAGAAGUUCCUGCAAAAAGGAAGCACCGAGGAUCAACAAAAUUGGUUAAAGUUCAUGCUCGUACCAGGGAGGAACGCCCUUACCUUAUCUUGAAUACGUAUGGGCAACCAGUCGGAGCUACUGAUGAAGUAGUCGAUGAAUUUACUCAAUUUUUGGGAACUGUUGCUAAAAAUUCUGAACUAGCCCUGCUUAAUUAUGUUAAAUAACCAAGCCUUCCCACACAUGAUAAAAUAUGGGAUUAUGUCCAGGUUUGUCAAUCGAUAAAGUAUUUAAUUAUUAUCCUUUAAUUAAUUAUUAUUAAUUUGUACAAGUAUAUACACACACACACACACACACACACACACACAUAUAUAUAUAUAUACACAUAUAUGUAUAUGCUGUUUUUUUGUGUAGGAGAAAUAUUUGGUGCCUGAAGAAGGAAGAAAAUGGGUAAUGAAAACCGUCAAUUAUGUUUAGCGUAUCCACAAGUGUAGGACAAAACAGAAGAAUUUCUAUGCAUUUGAUACUGAUAAAGAAAGAAUGAUAGAACGUCCAAAGACAAUGCCAAAAACUCAUUUUGAAGAUAUGUUGAAGUAUUCGCAUUUGACAACAACUGAGGAAGAAAGUUAGACCAACAAAAAGAAUCGUCAAAAGGUAGAAGACAUCCACACUACGGGUCCAAAAUCAUAUGCCAGGUUAUGUCAUAAGCUAGUAUUAUAUAUCUGUACAAAUCUUUAAUUUUCACAUAAUAUGUUUCUAUUUUUUUAGCUAGUCAUUUACAAUUUUAUUUAGCUCAUAAGCACCUAUCUUAUAAAUUCUUUGUAUAGAAACAAGAGGACCCUAACAAACAAGGACCCUCCCACGCAAAGGUGUACAAAGAAUCAAGGAAAAGAAAUCCUAAAAAGACAUACAAAACCAGCUUUGGAAAAACGAAGAAUAAUAUAAUGAGUUUAAACUACUAAUCCAAUUGUUUAAUAUCUUUAUUAUGUGAAAACCCAAGCUAUACAUACAUAACCUCUAUAAUUAUUCUUUAUAUAUAUAUAUGAACACUUUCUAUAUAUAAUGUAGCUUUGUUUUGUUUAAUGUAAAUACUAAGCAACAAUUUGUAGUUGUUU